rnacentral:rRNA from 1 species
GUCGUAACAAGGUUUCCGUAGGUGAACCUGCGGAAGGAUCAUUAGUGAAUAAAUAGGGUGUCCAAUUUAACUUGGAACCCGACCUUCUCACAUCUAACCCUGUGCAUCUGUAUUUAAUGGCGAGCAAUUUUCGGAUUGUGAGCCAUUUCACUUUAUAAACACUAGUCUAUGAAUGUAAAAUUUUUAUAACAAAUAAAAACUUUCAACAACGGAUCUCUUGGCUCUCGCAUCGAUGAAGAACGCAGCGAAAUGCGAUACGUAAUGUGAAUUGCAGAAUUCAGUGAGUCAUCGAAUCUUUGAACGCAUCUUGCGCUCUCUGGUAUUCCGGAGAGCAUGUCUGUUUGAGUGUCAUGAAUUCUUCAACCCAACUGUUUCUUGUAAACAGCUGGUGUUUGGAUUCUGAGCGCUGCUGGCCUCGUGCCUAGCUCGUUCGUAAUACAUCAGCAUCCCUAAUACAAGUUUGGAUUGACUUGGCGUAAUAGACUAUUCGCUAAGGAUUCAAUGUUCGCAUUGAGCCAACUUAAUUAAGGAAGCUUCUAAUUGAAAAGUCUACCUUUAGAUUAGAUCUCAAAUCAGGCAGGAUUACCCGCUGAACUUAAGCAUAUCA